AAAAGUUUGAUUCUUGCUUUCAUUUUUAUUAAAAUUUACACUCAUGUUUACUUUAUAAAUUUAUUUUUAAGCAGAAUCUAAAAUUAAAAACAAUUUAAAAAAUGUUUUAGUAAAUUAAAAU
rnacentral:rRNA from 1 species